AUCCAAAAUGGUACCAUGGUUUUUUAGAAACUGGAGAAGGAUGCAAUUACAAAGCCAAUGACUAGAGUUCCAACUGAGAUUGUUAGUCCAUGGGCACCUCCUUCUGCUGGAGAUGGUGCUGGUGCUUGCUGAUUUGCUCCUGGGAACACAGUAGGUGCAGAAGCAGUAGAUGGAGAUGCACCUAAACACCAAUUUAACCAAUUUCAAAAAACAAGUUAUCAACUUUACCAUAAGAAAGUGCUAAAUUUGCAGUGCAAUCAUCAAUUCCCAUUAAAACAAUUCACUAUAACAAUGAUGAGUCAGAUAAAGCAUUCAAUAUAUUGACCAACUGACAUUUUGUUCAUUUAUUGACACAUACCCCAAAUAAUCCAAAAUCUGUUCUAGCAAAGUGUCAAAGAAAAUCACCAUCAUUUUAUUAUUUUCAUUUUAUUUUCUUGAAAAGUGCAGAUAAAAAUAGAUUUAAGAAAAAUGAAACAGAGAUGAAACAGAUUUUGAAUUCUAGUAGCCAAUUCAUUUUGAAGCUUUUGUUGCAAAAUACCAUUUAUUCUAUAAAAAAAAAAAACACAUUGAAAUUGUUUUUUCAGAUUCAGUUACACCUUUCUCUGUCUCCCUCUCUCAGAAAUUAGAACAUUUAUAGCAGCAACAAAAACCUUUAGAAAAAAUAAAUUUCUUUCUUUAAAGAAAACACAAGAGUAAAUAAUUGUCUUUAAAACCAUAUUUAUUCAACUCUUAGAAUGCAUGAAUGGAAAAUUGCAAGAAAGAUGACAUUUUUACAAUUAAAUAUAACUAACCCAACAAAAAGAAACCAUUUUUAUAAUCAAGAAGCAGAUCAGAACAUACCAGGAGCACCAGCAGGAGUCAAAGCCACUGCAAAAACCCAAGAAAAAAAAAACCAACAAAAUCAAUAAACUAAAGAGAACCCACAACAGAAAAAAGGAAGAGAGAGAGAGAGAGAGAGAGAGACUAACAUCCACAGUUAGAAACAGAAGGGGCGUGAAUUUUGCAAGCAGAAGGCAAAGAAAGAGCCUUUGUAACAUUCAAAACAACACCCAAUUGGGCACUACUUUUAAAAGCCUCACAAAGGCAUUGAGCAUCAGUUUUCAAAACAGUUUUCAAGCCAGAACAACAAGUCUUUUCUGGUUUUGUUGUAGUGCUAUCAUUUGACACAUAAGACAAACAAUCAGCCAUAUUCAACACCAAAGUAGAACAAUCAACACCAGAUGAAGAAGCAGGUGCUUGUGCUGGUGCUGGUGCUGUUGCUGCAUGGUGGGGUGUGGCACCAUUAACAGCAACAACAGCCCAGAUUGAGAAAAUGCAAAGAACAGCAGAAACAACAGCUGAUGCCAUAUUUUCAGG
rnacentral:lncRNA from 1 species